GGCUUAACACAUGCAAGUCGAGCGGGGAAGGGUAGCUUGCUACCUGACCUAGCGGCGGACGGGUGAGUAAUGCUUAGGAAUCUGCCUAUUAGUGGGGGACAACAUUCCGAAAGGAAUGCUAAUACCGCAUACGCCCUACGGGGGAAAGCAGGGGAUCUUCGGACCUUGCGCUAAUAGAUGAGCCUAAGUCAGAUUAGCUAGUUGGUGGGGUAAAGGCCUACCAAGGCGACGAUCUGUAGCGGGUCUGAGAGGAUGAUCCGCCACACUGGGACUGAGACACGGCCCAGACUCCUACGGGAGGCAGCAGUGGGGAAUAUUGGACAAUGGGCGAAAGCCUGAUCCAGCCAUGCCGCGUGUGUGAAGAAGGCCUUUUGGUUGUAAAGCACUUUAAGCGAGGAGGAGGCUACUUGGAUUAAUACUCUAGGAUAGUGGACGUUACUCGCAGAAUAAGCACCGGCUAACUCUGUGCCAGCAGCCGCGGUAAUACAGAGGGUGCGAGCGUUAAUCGGAUUUACUGGGCGUAAAGCGUGCGUAGGCGGCUUUUUAAGUCGGAUGUGAAAUCCCUGAGCUUAACUUAGGAAUUGCAUUCGAUACUGGGAAGCUAGAGUAUGGGAGAGGAUGGUAGAAUUCCAGGUGUAGCGGUGAAAUGCGUAGAGAUCUGGAGGAAUACCGAUGGCGAAAGCAGCCAUCUGGCCUAAUACUGACGCUGAGGUACGAAAGCAUGGGGAGCAAACAGGAUUAGAUACCCUGGUAGUCCAUGCCGUAAACGAUGUCUACUAGCCGUUGGGGCCUUUGAGCUUUAGUGGCGCAGCUAACGCGAUAGUAGACCGCCUGGGGAGUACGUCGCAAGACUAAAACUCAAAUGAAUUGACGGGGCCCGCACAAGCGGUGGAGCAU
rnacentral:rRNA from 1 species